AACGAACGCUGGCGGCAUGCCUAACACAUGCAAGUCGAACGAGACCUUCGGGUCUAGUGGCGCACGGGUGCGUAACGCGUGGAAUCUGCCCUUUGCUUCGGAAUAACAGUUAGAAAUGACUGCUAAUACCGGAUGAUGUCUUCGGACCAAAGAUUUAUCGGCAAAGGAUGAGCCCGCGUAGGAUUAGGUAGUUGGUGGGGUAAAGGCCUACCAAGCCGACGAUCCUUAGCUGGUCUGAGAGGAUGAUCAGCCACACUGGGACUGAGACACGGCCCAGACUCCUACGGGAGGCAGCAGUGGGGAAUAUUGGACAAUGGGCGCAAGCCUGAUCCAGCAAUGCCGCGUGAGUGAUGAAGGCCUUCGGGUCGUAAAGCUCUUUUACCAGGGAUGAUAAUGACAGUACCUGGAGAAUAAGCUCCGGCUAACUCCGUGCCAGCAGCCGCGGUAAU
rnacentral:rRNA from 1 species